rnacentral:rRNA from 1 species
UACAGAGGGUGCAAGCGUUGUUCGGAAUUAUUGGGCGUAAAGCGCGUGUAGGCGGCUUUGCAAGUCGGGUGUGAAAGCCCUCAGCUUAACUGAGGAAGUGCGCCCGAAACUGCAUGGCUUGAGUACCGGAGAGGAUGGUGGAAUUCCCGAAGUAGAGGUGAAAUUCGUAGAUAUCGGGAGGAACACCGGUGGCGAAGGCGACCAUCUGGACGGAUACUGACGCUGAGACGCGAAAGCGUGGGGAGCGAUCCGG